AAACCAUUCGAGACGCGGGUGCAAACCCUCGGCUCGGUCUUGGGCAUGAGGGAUCAAAACCCUCGGCCUGCAAUCCAGCGGCAGACUCCCUGCGUAGCAGUAGCGAGAUAGAAUCGUCAAUCGCGAAUGCGCGACGGCGACGUCUAGCCAUAACCCCCAAAUCUGUAAUCGA
rnacentral:misc_RNA from 1 species